rnacentral:rRNA from 1 species
UAAGGUGAUAUGAACCGUUAUAACCGGCGAUACCCGAAUGGGGAAACCCAGUGUGAUUCGUCACACUAUCAUUAACUGAAUCCAUAGGUUAAUGAGGCGAACCGGGGGAACUGAAACAUCUAAGUACCCCGAGGAAAAGAAAUCAACCGAGAUUCCCCCAGUAGCGGCGAGCGAACGGGGAGGAGCCCAGAGCCUGAAUCAGCAUGUGUGUUAGUGGAAGCGUCUGGAAAGGCGCGCGAUACAGGGUGACAGCCCCGUACACAAAAGCGCAUGUGCUGUGAGCUCGAUGAGUAGGGCGGGACACGUGGUAUCCUGUCUGAAUAUGGGGGGACCAUCCUCCAAGGCUAAAUACUCCUGACUGACCGAUAGUGAACCAGUACCGUGAGGGAAAGGCGAAAAGAACCCCGGCGAGGGGAGUGAAAAAGAACCUGAAACCGUGUACGUACAAGCAGUGGGAGCACAGGUUUACCUGUGUGACUGCGUACCUUUUGUAUAAUGGGUCAGCGACUUAUAUUCUGUAGCAAGGUUAACCGAAUAGGGGAGCCGGAGGGAAACCGAGUCUUAACCGGGCGUUAAGUUGCAGGGUAUAGACCCGAAACCCGGUGAUCUAGCCAUGGGCAGGUUGAAGGUUGGGUAACACUAACUGGAGGACCGAACCGACUAAUGUUGAAAAAUUAGCGGAUGACCUGUGGCUGGGGGUGAAAGGCCAAUCAAACCGGGAGAUAGCUGGUUCUCCCCGAAAGCUAUUUAGGUAGCGCCUCGUGAAUUCAUCUCCGGGGGUAGAGCACUGUUUCGGCUAGGGGGCCAUCCCGGCUUACCAACCCGAUGCAAACUGCGAAUACCGGAGAAUGUUAUCACGGGAGACACACGGCGGGUGCUAACGUCCGUCGUGAAGAGGGAAACAACCCAGACCGCCAGCUAAGGUCCCAAAGUCAUGGUUAAGUGGGAAACGAUGUGGGAAGGCCCAGACAGCCAGGAUGUUGGCUUAGAAGCAGCCAUCAUUUAAAGAAAGCGUAAUAGCUCACUGGUCGAGUCGGCCUGCGCGGAAGAUGUAACGGGGCUAAACCAUGCACCGAAGCUGCGGCAGCGACACUGUGUGUUGUUGGGUAGGGGAGCGUUCUGUAAGCCUGUGAAGGUGUGUCGUGAGGCAUGCUGGAGGUAUCAGAAGUGCGAAUGCUGACAUAAGUAACGAUAAAGCGGGUGAAAAGCCCGCUCGCCGGAAGACCAAGGGUUCCUGUCCAACGUUAAUCGGGGCAGGGUGAGUCGACCCCUAAGGCGAGGCCGAAAGGCGUAGUCGAUGGGAAACGGGUUAAUAUUCCCGUACUUGGUGUUACUGCGAAGGGGGGACGGAGAAGGCUAUGUUGGCCGGGCGACGGUUGUCCCGGUUUAAGCGUGUAGGUGUGUGUUCCAGGUAAAUCCGGUUCACUUUAACACUGAGGCGUGAUGACGAGGCACUACGGUGCUGAAGCAACAAAUGCCCUGCUUCCAGGAAAAGCCUCUAAGCAUCAGGUAACAUCAAAUCGUACCCCAAACCGACACAGGUGGUCAGGUAGAGAAUACCAAGGCGCUUGAGAGAACUCGGGUGAAGGAACUAGGCAAAAUGGUGCCGUAACUUCGGGAGAAGGCACGCUGACACGUAGGUGAAGUGAUUUACUCAUGGAGCUGAAGUCAGUCGAAGAUACCAGCUGGCUGCAACUGUUUAUUAAAAACACAGCACUGUGCAAACACGAAAGUGGACGUAUACGGUGUGACGCCUGCCCGGUGCCGGAAGGUUAAUUGAUGGGGUCAGCGCAAGCGAAGCUCCUGAUCGAAGCCCCGGUAAACGGCGGCCGUAACUAUAACGGUCCUAAGGUAGCGAAAUUCCUUGUCGGGUAAGUUCCGACCUGCACGAAUGGCGUAAUGAUGGCCAGGCUGUCUCCACCCGAGACUCAGUGAAAUUGAACUCGCUGUGAAGAUGCAGUGUACCCGCGGCAAGACGGAAAGACCCCGUGAACCUUUACUAUAGCUUGACACUGAACAUUGAGCCUUGAUGUGUAGGAUAGGUGGGAGGCUUUGAAGCGUGGACGCCAGUCUGCGUGGAGCCGACCUUGAAAUACCACCCUUUAAUGUUUGAUGUUCUAACGUGGACCCGUGAUCCGGGUUGCGGACAGUGUCUGGUGGGUAGUUUGACUGGGGCGGUCUCCUCCUAAAGAGUAACGGAGGAGCACGAAGGUUGGCUAAUCCUGGUCGGACAUCAGGAGGUUAGUGCAAUGGCAUAAGCCAGCUUGACUGCGAGCGUGACGGCGCGAGCAGGUGCGAAAGCAGGUCAUAGUGAUCCGGUGGUUCUGAAUGGAAGGGCCAUCGCUCAACGGAUAAAAGGUACUCCGGGGAUAACAGGCUGAUACCGCCCAAGAGUUCAUAUCGACGGCGGUGUUUGGCACCUCGAUGUCGGCUCAUCACAUCCUGGGGCUGAAGUAGGUCCCAAGGGUAUGGCUGUUCGCCAUUUAAAGUGGUACGCGAGCUGGGUUUAGAACGUCGUGAGACAGUUCGGUCCCUAUCUGCCGUGGGCGCUGGAGAACUGAGGGGGGCUGCUCCUAGUACGAGAGGACCGGAGUGGACGCAUCACUGGUGUUCGGGUUGUCAUGCCAAUGGCACUGCCCGGUAGCUAAAUGCGGAAGAGAUAAGUGCUGAAAGCAUCUAAGCACGAAACUUGCCCCGAGAUGAGUUCUCCCUGAGACUUAGAGUCUCCUGAAGGAACGUUGAAGACGACGA